rnacentral:rRNA from 1 species
GAUGAACGCUGGCGGCGUGCCUAAUACAUGCAAGUCGAGCGAACAGACGAGGAGCUUGCUCCUCUGACGUUAGCGGCGGACGGGUGAGUAACACGUGGAUAACCUACCUAUAAGACUGGGAUAACUUCGGGAAACCGGAGCUAAUACCGGAUAAUAUAUUGAACCGCAUGGUUCAAUAGUGAAAGACGGUUUUGCUGUCACUUAUAGAUGGAUCCGCGCCGCAUUAGCUAGUUGGUAAGGUAACGGCUUACCAAGGCGACGAUGCGUAGCCGACCUGAGAGGGUGGUCGGCCAAACUGGAACUGAGACACGGUCCAGACUCCUACGGGAGGGAGCAGGAGGGAAUUUUCCGCAAUGGGCGAAAGCUUGACGGAGCAACGCCGCGUGAGUGAUGAAGGUCUUCGGAUCGUAAAACUCUGUUAUUAGGGAAGAACAAAUGUGUAAGUAACUAUGCACGUCUUGAAGGUACCUAAUCAGAAAGCCACGGCUAACUACGUG